rnacentral:rRNA from 1 species
UAGGGAAUCUUCGGCAAUGGACGAAAGUCUGACCGAGCAACGCCGCGUGAGUGAAGAAGGUUUUCGGAUCGUAAAACUCUGUUGUUAGAGAAGAACAAGGACGUUAGUAACUGAACGUCCCCUGACGGUAUCUAACCAGAAAGCCACGGCUAACUACGUGCCAGCAGCCGCGGUAAUACGUAGGUGGCAAGCGUUGUCCGGAUUUAUUGGGCGUAAAGCGAGCGCAGGCGGUUUCUUAAGUCUGAUGUGAAAGCCCCCGGCUCAACCGGGGAGGGUCAUUGGAAGCUGGGAGACUUGAGUGGAGAAGAGGAGAGUGGAAUUCCAUGUGUAGCGGUGAAAUGCGUAGAUAUAUGGAGGAACACCAGUGGCGAAGGCGGCUCUCUGGUCUGUAACUGACGCUGAGGCUCGAAAGCGUGGGGAGCAAACAGG